GGGACUCGUUUAGUUAUUAUUAAGUUGCUAGGAGUUGGCUUAAAAUAUUGACCUAUGUCAUUUGAAGGUGUCUAUUGUAUAAAGUCAUUUAAUGUAGAUAGUCUUGAAUAUGUUUGAAAAGUUUAAAAUUGAUGAAAUUUUAUGCCUCGAUUUUAAAUGAUUACAAGUACUCAAGUCCAGUAAUACCUCGUACCUUGUUCCGGCAUCAGAUAUGGGUAAGGGGUGUUACAGAUACACAAGCCCGUGUCUCCGCCC
rnacentral:lncRNA from 1 species